GAGAGAAGCCGCGCUUCCGGCUUGGUUGAGCGAGGUUCUUCCGCGUCUCAGGGAGCUCCGCGUUCCCUCCUAAAUCCAGCCGGGAACGGCGCUGGUCCCGGGCCUCGCUCCGCCGCAGCGGCUGCAAGGUGUCCCAAAGGUGUCCCCAGUGACCAUGAAUUCCCAAGAGCUGCUGGAGUGGCUGGUCAUCAUGGUGGCCACCCUGGGUGACCUGGUGGCCACCAUGGCCAAGCAGGAUGGGGAUGUGCUGCUACCCAGGUCCCCAAGGUCCCUGCACCUGGCCCUGAAGAACUUCAUCGAUAACCUCUAUGUCACCCUGGUCCAGGUCGGUGUCACCUGGUGGCACCGCAGCUUCAUGUCCGAGUGUGAUGACUCUCCCAUCUCCCUGAGCCAGGCCCUGGCCGCCUAUGAGAACACCCCAUGGACCACCUGGGACCAGGUGACAAGAGUGGCCAGGGCCUGGCGGGAGUUGCUGGCCAAGAUUGUGGCUAGCUGGGCCCGGCUGGCCAGGGAGGCCGCUGAGCUCCGUGACACCUGCAGGGAGGUGGCCACUGCUGAGGCCACUACAGCAGCCACUGCCACAGCCCAGGCUGGGGACCUGCAGGAAAAGGCCACCCACUGGAGGAGAGCUCACAGAAACCUGGUGACCACAGCCCGGCAGCUGCCACUGGCCCUGGAAAUGGAGGUGGAGGCCUCGGCAAGUGCUGUGCACGAGGCCCGGGUGAUGGCAGCUGGCAGCGAGAUAGUGGCGGCCACCAUGGCAUUGACAGAGGCUGUGGUGGCCCGCAGCCGGGCAGAGGUGGCCACCAAGAGGGGACAGCGGGCGGAGGCGGCCCUGGGGCUGCUGGAGCGCUUGGUGGCCAUGUGUGACAAAGCCACCGUGUUCCCCCGGGAGCUGCAGCGCCUGCUCAGGGACAUCGAGGCUGCCCUGGAGGGGACAAAUAAGCAUUCCCCAAUGUCCCAGACGACUUGGUGGCCAAGGUGGCUGUGACCAAGUGGCUGUGGGAGGCCAACACCCACCUGGCCAAGGAUUACCUGGAGGGAGCAGUUUGAGACAUCAUCGACUUCUGUUUCACUGCUGGUCCUGCCAGCCCCAGUGCCUGUGGGGUGGACGAGCGGUGCCAAAGAGCCAUCGAGGACAUCCCAAAGCUCAUUCAACCCCAGGAGUGUCCCCAAGGUGUCCCCAACGUGUCCCCAGUGAGCGUGGAGCUCCAAGAGGUGCAAUGGGGGGUGGGGGGAAGAGGACAGAGGGGACACUGGAGUGGGAGGGGGCAAUUGGGGAUGGAGAGGACACGGGGUGGCGAAUGGGACAGGGGGACACAAAGGCGAAAGGAGGGAGUGAUAGGAAGAGGGGAGGUGACAGAGGGGUGGAGGAGCAACAGGGGGGAGGGGCCAGUGGGGAAUGGCAGGGACAUGGGGGCUCAGGGAGGGUGGCAGAGGGGACAGCAGAGGGUCAGGGGGCAGGAGGGGCUACGAUGGGAGGGGCAGGUGGUGGCAGAGGUGACCAGAGGGAUGGAGGGGAU
rnacentral:lncRNA from 1 species